rnacentral:misc_RNA from 1 species
ACGAAUAUCUCUGGCGUUGGUUGUAGCUGGCUCCUAGGAGCAUUGUGCACGCCCGUCAUUCAUAUCAUCUUUCCACCUGUGAACCAUGUGUAGGCCUGGAUACCCCUCGCUUUGGCAACAAAGCGGAUGCAAGGAUUGCUGCGUCGACAAGGCCGGCUCUCUUUGAAUUUCCAGGUUCUAUGUCUUUUUACACACCCCAUUUGAAUGAUUUCGAAUGUAGUCAAUGGGCUUUCAUGCCUAUAAAAAAACUAUA